rnacentral:lncRNA from 1 species
UAAACCAAAUACUCGUUCUCUGCUCGGCGUCCACAACCAACACUUGAACCCAAACCCAGGGAUCCCAAUUUCACCAAAGAAUUAAUGUUGAUCACACAGGACUGAAGCAUACCCUAUAGCAAGAAUCAAACCAGAUACUUGAUCAGAAGGCCCCUUGCUGGAACUGUCGCCUUCAACGUCCCUAGAAGCAUCCCAGACAUUGCUAACACCACGAUACCUACGCUCGAUGAGUCCUAACCCAGCAACUGAACACAGUGUACUUGUUGAAAUUGGUGGCAAAGCAGAAUCACCAACGCUCUCCCUAGCAGUGUUCUGAAUUGAUUCAGAGCCCAACACAAGAGGUACUGUACCAAACUGAACUUCCACCACGGUACUAAACUUGUCCAAAUGUCUCCUAACUGGUUCUGCACUCCCCUGUAAAAUGUAAAACUGGGAUCUUUUUCGUCCCUCCAAUACAACUCGGAAUCCUUUUCGAACCUUCAAGACUCCACUUCCUCUAGAGGAUUUAUACCCUUUUGCAUCCAGGGUACUUAGUGAAAUGAGAUUCCUUUUCAGGUUAAUUAAUUGUUCUAAAUAUUCCAUCCCACAGUCUCAAUCUGACUCGACCGAUCGUAAUAUGGCAAGAUUGGUUGUUUCACAUUACAGCUUCACCUUGGUGAACAACCUCAUAUGUCUAAAAGAAAUUCCUAUCGGAACACAUAUGGUGCGAACAUGUUGAAUCAAGAAUCCACUUCUCGUCAGGCCUAGACUUCAUAUCAAAUACCACGAUCAACAUCACCUCUUCGCUAACUGAACAAUUCUCAACUACAUUGGUUUCGUCUAAAUUCAAAAGUUGCACCCUAUGAUUUACAGCUAAAUCACCUUAAGCCUGCAACAUAUCGCAAUCUUUCCGAAUAUGUCCCUUCCUUUUGCUGUAGUAACAGGUCACGUUGCUAAAUCUAACUCUUGAUCUGUCUCUUCGUCGACUACCUUAAGAUACAAGAGCUUCCCCAUCCUUGAUGUAGCUCCAACCAAAUGUUUCAUUUUCUCCUUUGAGUGCAAAGUAUCAUAGACAUCUUCUAUAGUCAAAGUAUCUCGACUAUACAAGAUAGUAUUUCGAAAUGACACAUGAGAUCCAGGCAGCGAACACAACAGGAUCAAGGCAAGAUCCUCUUCAUCGUACUUAACCUCCAACGUCUCCAGAUCUGCAACUAUUUCCUUGAACACGGCAACAUGGUCUUUCGACGACUCUUCUUCAAUCAUGCGAUGUGAAUACAGCUUCUGCUUGAUAACCAGUUUACUUGUAAUAUUCUUAGUUAUACACAACUGCUCAAACUUCAACCACAAAGUAGUCACCGUUUUUCCUUCAAGACAUCCUGCAGAAUAUUGUUGAAUAAAUGAAAGAUGAAUCAACGACUCAGCCUUUCGAUCCUUCCGUUGUUUCUCCUUGUCCAACCAGCUAGCAGUCUCUCAAUACCCUGCAACGCAUCAUCCAAAUCCCAUUGCGCCAAAAUAGCCCUCAUCUUUACUUGUCACAAAUAAAAUCUUGUAUUGCGAUCUAGUUGUGGAAUGUCAUAUUUCAACCCAGCCAUCUCGAAAAAAUUUCAACCAAUCUACGAAAGGAACCAAGCUCUGAUGCCACUUGUUGGGGACGGAAGCUCCAAUAACACACGUUGAUUUCAAACCGGAUUAUAAAGAACGAGAUUUAAUGACAAUAUUGAAGUUUACUAGAUCACACCACGAAAACACAAGAUUGAAUUUGUAAAGAAAGAACGCAAAGAGUAAAUACAGAGGAACGAUGUUUAUUAAUUCAACGGUAUGGAGAAUACAAGACAAACUAGCAAUACUACUU